GAUGAACGCUGGCGGCGUGCCUAAUACAUGCAAGUCGAGCGAAUGGAUUAAGAGCUUGCUCUUAUGAAGUUAGCGGCGGACGGGUGAGUAACACGUGGGUAACCUGCCCAUAAGACUGGGAUAACUCCGGGAAACCGGGGCUAAUACCGGAUAACAUUUUGAACCGCAUGGUUCGAAAUUGAAAGGCGGCUUCGGCUGUCACUUAUGGAUGGACCCGCGUCGCAUUAGCUAGUUGGUGAGGUACCGGCUCACCAAGGCAACGAUGCGUAGCCGACCUGAGAGGGUGAUCGGCCACACUGGGACUGAGACACGGCCCAGACUCCUACGGGAGGCAGCAGUAGGGAAUCUUCCGCAAUGGACGAAAGUCUGACGGAGCAACGCCGCGUGAGUGAUGAAGGCUUUCGGGUCGUAAAACUCUGUUGUUAGGGAAGAACAAGUGCUAGUUGAAUAAGCUGACACCUUGACGGUACCUAACCAGGAAGCCACGGCUAACUACGUGCCAGCCGCCGCCGUAA
rnacentral:rRNA from 1 species